rnacentral:tRNA from 1 species
UUAUUAUUUUGGCAGAUUAGUGCAAUGAAUUUAGAAUUCAUAAAUGUAAUAUAAGUUACAUAUAAUA